UUAGGUACCAUAGUAAUUUCCUGAAUUUCUGCACGAGUUUCUUCUGACUGAGGGACAUGCAUAUUCAUUUCAUCACCAUCAAAGUCAGCAUUAUAAGGAGACGUAACUGACAAGUUUAAUCGGAAUGUCGAGUACGGCAUUACGCGAAUCCUAUGACCCAUCAUACUCAUUUUGUGAAGGGAUGGCUGUCUGUUAAAAAUAACGACAUCGCCAUCACGAAUAUGCCGCUCAACUCGCCAACCGUACCUAAGAGGAAUAUCACCAG